AUGGCGCUGCUCCCGCGCACGGCCCGGCUGGCCCUCCUCUCCGCGUCGCCGCGGACCUACUCCGCCGCCGCCGCGGCGGGCGCCUCGCCCACCCCACCGGCGCCGUACGCGGGCGUGCCUCCGCCGGCGGCGGGGUCCAAGGCGGCCGAGUUCGUCGUCUCCAAGGUGGACGACCUCAUGAACUGGGCGCGCCGGGGCUCGAUCUGGCCCAUGACCUUCGGGCUGGCCUGCUGCGCCGUCGAGAUGAUGCACGCCGGCGCGGCCCGCUACGACUUCGACCGAUUCGGCGUCAUCUUCCGCCCGUCCCCGCGCCAGUCCGACUGCAUGAUUGUCGCCGGCACGCUCACCAACAAGAUGGCGCCCGCCCUCCGCAAGGUUUAUGACCAGAUGCCCGAGCCUCGAUGGGUCAUAUCGAUGGGCAGCUGUGCCAACGGUGGUGGAUACUACCACUACUCCUACUCUGUUGUGCGUGGAUGCGACCGCAUUGUUCCGGUGGAUAUCUACGUCCCUGGAUGCCCCCCAACCGCUGAGGCCCUACUAUACGGUGUUCUCCAGCUCCAGAAGAAGAUCAACAGGCGCAAGGAUUUCCUUCACUGGUGGACCAAGUGA
rnacentral:rRNA from 1 species